rnacentral:rRNA from 1 species
GAUGAACGCUGGCGGCGUGCCUAAUACAUGCAAGUCGAGCGAACAGACGAGGAGCUUGCUCCUCUGACGUUAGCGGCGGACGGGUGAGUAACACGUGGAUAACCCACCUAUAAGACUGGGAUAACUUCGGGAAACCGGAGCUAAUACCGGAUAAUAUAUUGAACCGCAUGGUUCAAUAGUUAAAGACGGUUUUGCUGUCACUUAUAGAUGGAUCCGCGCCGCAUUAGCUAGUUGGUAAGGUAACGGCUUACCAAGGCAACGAUGCUUAGCCGACCUGAGAGGGUGAUCGGCCACACUGGAACUGAGACACGGUCCAGACUCCUACGGGAGGCAGCAGUAGGGAAUCUUCCGCAAUGGGCGAAAGCCUGACGGAGCAACGCCGCGUGAGUGAUGAAGGUCUUCGGAUCGUAAAACUCUGUUAUUAGGGAAGAACAAAUGUGUAAGUAACUAUGCACGUCUUGACGGUACCUAAUCAGAAAGCCACGGCUAACUACGUG